GCCUGUGUGGUUUAGUUGGUUGAGCAUCUGACUUCGGCUCAGGUCAUGAUCUCACAGUUUGUGGGUUCGAGCCCCACAUUGGGCU
rnacentral:tRNA from 1 species